rnacentral:rRNA from 1 species
GACGAACGCUGGCGGCGUGCUUAACACAUGCAAGUCGAACGGAAAGGCCUUUUCGGAGGUACUCGAGUGGCGAACGGGUGAGUAACACGUGGGUGAUCUGCCCUGCACUCUGGGAUAAGCCUGGGAAACUGGGUCUAAUACCGGAUAGGACCGCACUUUAGUGUGUGUGGUGGAAAGUUUUUUCGGUGUAGGAUGAGCCCGCGGCCUAUCAGCUUGUUGGUGGGGUAAUGGCCUACCAAGGCGGCGACGGGUAGUCGGACUGAGAGGUUGGUCGGCCACAUUGGGACUGAGAUACGGCCCAGACUCCGACGGGAGGCAGCAGUGGGGAAUAUUGCACAAUGGGCGCAAGCCUGAUGCAGCGACGCCGCGUGGGGGAUGACGGCCUUCGGGUUGUAAACUCCUUUCGCCAGGGACGAAGCGUUUUGUGACGGUACCUGGAGAAGAAGCACCGGCUAACUACGUG